rnacentral:rRNA from 1 species
GAUUAACGCUGGCGUCGUGCAUAACACAUGCAAGUCGAACUAUGAAACUUAGUAGACUUCUUCGGAAAGACAUUAAGCGGAUUAGUGGCGAACGGGUGAGUAACGCGUGAGUAACCUGCCUUACACAAGGGGAUAGCCUUUGGAAACGAAGAAUAAUACCCUAUAAAACCAUAAAAGCACAUGCUAGAAUGGUCAAAGUGAUAGCGGUGUAAGAUGGACUUGCGUCUGAUUAGCUAGUUGGUGAGAUAAAAGCUCACCAAGGCAACGAUCAGUAGCCGGCUUGAGAGAGUGUACGGCCACAUUGGGACUGAGACACGGCCCAGACUCCUACGGGAGGCAGCAGUGGGGAAUUUUGCACAAUGGGGGAAACCCUGAUGCAGCGACGCCGCGUGAUUUAGAAGGCCUUCGGGUUGUAAAAAUCUUUUGUAUAGGAAGAAAAUGACAGUACUAUACGAAUAAGGUCCGGCUAAUUACGUG